rnacentral:lncRNA from 1 species
AUUAGCAGAUAUCCGGGUCCUCUGGGAAAUUAGGAUUUUCCUAGUUUCCUUAUUUAAACGGAAAUCGACAGUGCGAAUUUCGGUUCCCACAUGUGUCCUGCUUGAGAACCUUGCAUCCGAUCCUAUUGAUGUUGAUGAUGACCGCCCAUGUUGGGUCCGGAGGUUGUUGAGGCUUUAUGUAUAGUUAAGACCCAUAAUCAGCAGAAGCAAAUACUUGUAGAUAAUAGAAUAUUUCCAAUUUUCUUAAGGGCGGCCUAUAUAUUGGAAUACUUCCUCUUUCUCUUGGAUUUAAGAGGAUCCCUUCGUGUC